GGCUCAGGAUGAACGCUAGCGGGAGGCUUAACACAUGCAAGUCGAGGGGCAGCACGAGGUAGCAAUACUUUGGUGGCGACCGGCGCACGGGUGAGUAACGCGUAUGUAACCUACCUUGUACAGGGAGAUAGCCCGGAGAAAUUCGGAUUAAUACCCCAUAAUGAUAUUCGGAGGCAUCUUUGGAUAUUUAAAGUUUCGACGGUACAGGAUGGGCAUGCGUGACAUUAGCUAGUUGGUAGGGUAACGGCCUACCAAGGCUGCGAUGUCUAGGGGUCCUGAGAGGGUGAUCCCCCACACUGGUACUGAGACACGGACCAGACUCCUACGGGAGGCAGCAGUGAGGAAUAUUGGUCAAUGGGCGUAAGCCUGAACCAGCCAUCCCGCGUGAAGGAAGAAGGCGCUAUGCGUUGUAAACUUCUUUUCCAUGGGAAGAAAACCCCCGACGUGUCGGGGCUUGCCGGUACCGUGGGAAUAAGCAUCGGCUAACUCCGUGCCAGCAGCCGCGGUAAUACGGAGGAUGCGAGCGUUAUCCGGAUUUAUUGGGUUUAAAGGGUGCGUAGGCGGAUUAAUAAGUCAGUGGUGAAAACCUUCAGCUUAACUGGAGACUUGCCAUUGACACUGUUAGUCUUGAGUACGGUCAAGGUAGGCGGAAUGUGUAAUGUAGCGGUGAAAUGCUUAGAUAUUACACAGAACACCGAUUGCGAAGGCAGCUUACUGGGCCAUUACUGACGCUGAUGCACGAAAGCGUGGGGAGCGAACAGGAUUAGAUACCCUGGUAGUCCACGCCGUAAACGAUGAUCACUCGCUGUUGGCGAUACACAGUCAGCGGCUAAGCAAAAGCAUUAAGUGAUCCACCUG
rnacentral:rRNA from 1 species